rnacentral:lncRNA from 1 species
GUUAGCUUUCAAAUAACAGCUUCCAAUGUUUUGGAGAAAUCCCCUGUAGGAUGUUAGCUUUCAAAUAACAGCUUCCACUGUUUGGGGGAAAUUCUCUGUAGAAAGUUAGCUUUCAAAUAACAGCUUCCACUGUUUUAAAGAAAUCCCCUGUUAGCUUUCAAAUAACAGCUUCCACUCUUUUUGUGAAAUCCCCUUUUAGGGAGAUAGCUUUUAAAUAACAGCUUCUACUCCUUUGGAGAAAAUCCCUGUACGAAGUUAGCUUUCAAAUAACAGCUUCCACUUUUUUUUGACAAAUCCGCUGUAGGAAGUUAGCUUUCAAAUAACAGCUUCUCCUGUUUGGAAGAAAUAUCUUGUAGGAAUUUAGCUUUCAAAUAACAGCUUUUACUGUUUGAGGGUAUUCCCUACCUCAACAAAAUUAAUAUUCACUGAUUUAAUGUUUCUUUAACUUCAUUUACAAAAAGGAUAUACAAUGCUUGAGUGUUUACUGUCAACAAAAAUUGUAACUAAUUUAGAAUUAAUUUUUUUUAACAAUUGCAUAUAUUUUUAAGGAUCUGUAAUAUAGCAAAGCCUUCAAUUCCAAUAUUUUCCAAGACUUUAAUCCAUAAAUUAAUCAUUUGGCUAAACCUGUCAGAUUCUGGUACCCUCUUAUCUUAGUAUUUAUACUGAUAGUCAAGAGGUGUCAUACGACCAAUGAAUGCUGAAGUCUAUAGUGAAAGUCUUCGUAAAUAACCACAAAAUCAAUCUUCAAAUAUUGUGAUAAAAGGACUCUGAAGGUUUGAUGGAUUUAUAUAGAUUUGUAAUUAAGUAAAAAUACAUACUGAUAUUUUAUUACCAUUUUGUAAUUUUGUAAUACUUAGUUUGAAAUUUAUAUUGUUUACAUCAUAAUAGAGAAAUACAUGUAUUAUAUAUUGUUUACCAUAUAGAAAUACAAAAUGUAGAUGUAUUAUGUUGAUGCAAUCAGAGACAUAAACAAUAAUCAUAAUAAAAUGAGUUAUCAUUAUUAUUUAUGUUUCAUUUAAUUUGAAAUGUGAUAAAAUAUAAAACUAGGGAGAUGUGGUAUGAUCGUCAAUAAUGACUUAGAUGUACGCAUUUAUAAUUCAGUGUACCAGUUUCCUCAUGAAGGUCAAUCCAGAAAAGAGCCUCGGACGCAUAAAAUUAUUUAACUAGUUGUUUUCAUUUUUGUUUAUUAAUGAGCAAAUCCCAUGACUUGACAAAAUGUGGAAAAUCCCAUACAAGAAACCCAACGGCCUGAUUUAUGUAAAAAAACUAACAAUAAAAAGAAAACAAAAAUUACAGAAAGACAGUAACCAAUUGCAAGAGGAACGACUUACUGAAACAUAUGUUUGCCUUGAGGUGGUUAAUCAGUGUUGUUAAAACUCCUACUCAGUGUGUCGCUAAUACAAAGCAGGGUUCACAUUUGAUAUCACUUUAUCAUGUUAUCGGCCUGGUAUUCAUGUAAUAUUUGCCACUGGAUGCUGACAGUCAUUGUAAUCAUGAAUACAUACAUGGCGUAUAUAGUCAGUCUAUUCCAUUAUAUAAUCAAUGAUCAUUACUGACUUAAUUGGAGGUUGAUAGUUAUUUUGUUUUUUACAUUGUACAGGCUUUUUAUAGUUAAAUUAGAUGUCAUUAAAAUUAUCAUCCAAA